UACAGAGGGUGCGAGCGUUGUUCGGAAUUAUUGGGCGUAAAGGGCGCGUAGGCGGCGCGGUAAGUCACCUGUGAAAUCUCCUGGCUCAACUGGGAGCUUGCAGGCGAAACUGCCGUGCUGGAGUGUGGGAGAGGUGCGUGGAAUUCCUGGUGUAGCGGUGAAAUGCGUAGAUAUCAGGAGGAACACCGGUGGCGAAGGCGGGCCUCUGGGCCGUAACUGACGCUGAGGAGCGAAAGCGUGGGGAGCGAACAGG
rnacentral:rRNA from 1 species